AUUGAACGCUGGCGGCAGGCCUAACACAUGCAAGUCGAACGGUAACAGGAAACAGCUUGCUGUUUCGCUGACGAGUGGCGGACGGGUGAGUAAUGUCUGGGAAACUGCCUGAUGGAGGGGGAUAACUACUGGAAACGGUAGCUAAUACCGCAUAACGUCGCAAGACCAAAGAGGGGGACCCUCGGGCCUCUUGCCUUCGGAUGUGCCCAGAUGGGAUUAGCUUGUUGGUGGGGUAACGGCUCACCAAGGCGACGAUCCCUAGCUGGUCUGAGAGGAUGACAAGCCACACUGGAACUGAGACACGGUCCAGACUACUACGGGAGGCAGCAGUGGGGAAUAUUGCACAAUGGGCGCAAGCCUGAUGCAGCCAUGCCGCGUGUAUGAAGAAGGCCUUCGGGUUGUAAAGUACUUUCAGCGGGGAGGAAGGGAGUAAAGUUAAUACCUUUGCUCAUUGACGUUACCCGCAGAAGAAGCACCGGCUAACUCCGUG
rnacentral:rRNA from 1 species